rnacentral:lncRNA from 1 species
AAAAAAAAAAAAAAAAAAACCUAUCCUCUCUCAAAAUUCUAUCCCUAGCCCACAUAAAUAAAAGUUUUUAAAAAUAAAUUUGAUAUUUUUUUGUGGAAAACUUAGUAGAGAAUAGUAUUAUAUUUUUCAUAAAUUUUAAAUAAUAUAAAUUUAUAUUUGAGAGUAAAAUUAGUAUUAUAGUAUUCUAUAAUUUUUUUAGUUUAUACGAACCAAACAAUGAAAUGUGAAUAACUUAUUCCAAUUCUCAAUCCACAAAUAAACCAAACGUCCGGAGGGAGUGGGCCAUUCAAAUUACCAUUCCAAUUCAUUCCCAUUCCAUUAUCCAUUCCAAUUCCACCCUUGAACUAAACAACCCCUUCAGGGUGCGUUUGGUUCGCUCUAUCUUUUUAAGAUUCCUAGUAAUUCAAUAGGAAUAAAAAAAUAUGACGGUGUUUGGCUAAACGCACUAAGUAAUCUAGUUGGUAAUGUUUGAUUUACUUGGGAAUAAAAUUUACCCCCAAAGUACUAAUCUCAUUUCUUUGAGAGAUGGUGGGUAUCCUCAUAUUAAUGGAUUGAGGUAAUCAUAAUAUAUCUAAUAUCUUUCUUUCUCUCUAUCCGCCGGCUAAUUGGUAUUAUUUUUUUUAUACUCUAACCUCAUCUCUUUCUCUAAAUUUAUUUUUCUCUCUCUAAACUUCAAUUCUUUUCUCUCUCUAAACUAAGCUCUCUCCCUCUCUUUUUCUAAAAUCUCAACUCUCUCUAACCUCGCCUCUAUUUCUCUUUCUAUUUCUUUAAUUAUGCUCUUUCUCUAUCUAACCUAUGCUCUCUUUUCUUUUUUUUCUAGAAAGAUGUUGAAAUUUUUCAUGACAUUAUCUAAAAUUAAUUAACGAAACAAAUAAAUUAAUUAUAUAUUUUUUGUAAUCUUAAAUAACAUGACUAAAUAAUAUGAUCGUACGAACCAAACGCGGAAAUGACAUAUUGUUAGUAAUAGAAUGAAUAGAAAUAAGAUUUUCGAACAUCUUUUUACUCUCAGUAAUUUUUUAUAGUGCGAACCAAACGCGUCCUUAAUGUGUCCUUU